ACGAACACAGUUUUUCUUCCACCAAGUAAGAAUGUCAAAGCUUGGACCAUUGUUUAAUCAGAGAGAAUAGAAAAAAUGUACCAAUUCCUUGGCCAUCUCCUUGAUUGCUAUUAUGCCCUUGAUCCAUCUUUCAAGUUACAAACUAUCUAAGCCUCCAAUAACAUAAAAAACAUAAGUUAGAAAUUUGCUUUCAUCACUUAAAUAUAAUGAAAUCAUUUAACAAUAUAAAAUCUAAACACUCUAGCUUAGCAACUUUUACCUUUUUGUCAAUCAGUGAUAAACUCAACUUCCUCCUUAUCUACAAGUACUAAGCUGAAAUAGAAAUAAAAACAUAAGAAAAAAUGUUUUAAGAUAAGAAAUAACAAACAAACUAAUUAAACAAUAGUAAAUAAUGAGUAGAUGCGUUCUAUUCAUCAUAGACUAUUAACAAAAAUAAAAAAUACACUUUUGAAUACCAGAAUAUAGUCCAAAAUAUUGUUUACUUCUUUCAUCAGUGCAAAAUCAUAAGAAAUAACAAUAUUGCUUCUAAAAAGUCCUAAAUCGAAGAAAGACAAAAUCAAAACCCUAACUUUUACUUUUGAUCAAUCGGUGACUAACUUCAUCUUUUCAAAACGAACUUGAAUGAUAGAAGCAAAUAGAGUGAGACGAUAAACCUAGAUCAUAAGAAAAAAAAGUGGAAAACGAAGUUAAGAAAAAAUCAAAAUGAAAAAAGAAAAAAAAACAGAACAUUAAGAAACAGAACAUACAAAUACGGUGAAGGUGAAUCUUCGUCGGAGUGAAUACAGAUCUCGAUGGAAACGGCGUGUUAUGGUGAUUGGUGAGCGGAACAGUGGCGAUGGUGAGUAAGGAGCGUGUGUGUGAAACGGCGCAGCUAAAGAUAGUGAUAAUGAAACUAGGGUUUUCUUAAAGGAGUGAGAAUGAAAACG
rnacentral:lncRNA from 1 species